rnacentral:rRNA from 2 species
CAAUAGCGUAUAUUAAAGUUGUUGCAGUUAAAAAGCUCGUAGUUGGAUCUCAGGCGCAGGCGGGCGGUCCGGCUCGCGCCGGCUCACUGCCCGUUUUUCCUGCCCUACUGUCUGCCGGCUCUCUCCCGCGGGUGCUCUUCGCUGAGCGUCCCGGGUGGCCGGCGCGUUUACUUUGAAAAAAUUAGAGUGUUCAAAGCAGGCUUUAUCGCCUGAAUAAUGGUGCAUGGAAUAAUGGAAUAGGACCUCGGUUCUAUUUUGUUGGUUUUCGGAACUGGAGGUAAUGAUUAACAGGGACAAACGGGGGCAUUCGUAUGGCGGCGUUAGAGGUGAAAUUCUUGGAUCGCCGCUAGACGAGCUACUGCGAAAGCAUUUGUCAAGAAUGUUUUCAUUAAUCAAGAACGAAAGUCAGAGGCG